rnacentral:rRNA from 1 species
UACGGGGGGGCAAGCGUUGUUCGGAAUUACUGGGCGUAAAGGGCUCGUAGGCGGCCAACUAAGUCAGACGUGAAAUCCCUCGGCUUAACCGGGGAACUGCGUCUGAUACUGGAUGGCUUGAGUUUGGGAGAGGGAUGCGGAAUUCCAGGUGUAGCGGUGAAAUGCGUAGAUAUCUGGAGGAACACCGGUGGCGGAAGGCGGCUGCCUGGCCCGAAUACCUGACGCUGAGACCCGAAAGCGUGGGGAUCAAACAGG